UACAGAGGUCUCAAGCGUUGUUCGGAUUCAUUGGGCGUAAAGGGUGUGUAGGUGGCGCCGUAAGUCGGGUGUGAAAUUUCGGAGCUUAACUCCGAAACUGCAUUCGAUACUGCGGUGCUUGAGGACUGGAGAGGAGACUGGAAUUCAUGGUGUAGCAGUGAAAUGCGUAGAUAUCGUAAGGAAGACCAGUGGCGAAGGCGGGUCUCUGGACAGUUCCUGACGCUGAAGCACGAAGGCCAGGGGAGCAAACGGG
rnacentral:rRNA from 1 species